rnacentral:rRNA from 1 species
CAGCAGCCGCGGGAAUACGUAGGGUGCGAGCGUUAAUCGGAAUUACUGGGCGUAAAGCGUGCGCAGGCGGUUUUGUAAGACAGGCGUGAAAUCCCCGGGCUCAACCUGGGAAUGGCGCUUGUGACUGCAAAGCUAGAGUGCGGCAGAGGGGGAUGGAAUUCCGCGUGUAGCAGUGAAAUGCGUGGAUAUGCGGAGGAACACCGAUAGCGAAGGCAGCCCCCUGGGCCAAUACUGACACUCAUGCACGAAAGCGUGGGGAGCAAACAGGAUUAGAUACCCGAGUAGUCCCUGUCUCUUAUAC